rnacentral:lncRNA from 1 species
UCUAUUUAGGUCAAAAUCAGCGGGUUGUUCAGUCUGUCCAAAUUCAUACAUCUUAAAUUCUUUGGAGUGAAUAUUUUACCCUGCUAUUUCUCAGUGUGAGUUUCCUGGGAAUUGUUAUUUGUAGCAAUGCAUUCGUCUAGGCCUUUUUUUUUUUUUUCACAAUUGUUUGGAUAUACAUCGUUUUGCUCAACUUGAAAGUUCUUCACAAGAAUAUAAAUAAAUGGAAUUCUCUUUGGGGAUUUCUGUGAAAAUUUGUAAGGACCACUGUAUAAAUGUGUGUGGAACAUCAAAGGCUGGUGUUGGCCAGGCUAGGGUGUGGAACCUGGAAAAUCUAGCACCAGACUCAAAGCUUCUAAGAGCAUCCAGCGUCCCCUCAUUGGCAGAUGCCUGUUUUGGUAAGCUACCGCCAGGAACUGGGAGUGGUAGCAACCUCUCACGCCAAUAGCAAGACAUACGACUAAGAAAGGAGGCACCACAUGUGCUCAAAUGAAAAAAAUGAUUUGCCCCUCUGAUCUAAGAUACAAGAGCCUCAGGAUAACUCAUACCCCAAACAGAAAGCAUUCCAGCAACAAGGGUACACCACUUUGGAGGCCAAAGUUGCCUGCUCUAAUUCACUCACAUAAUCACUGGGGUGUCCCCAUUCAUCAGGAACUCAUAGACCGAAAGAGAGAGGAGUUUAUACCCUCUUCCCUCAUAGUCAAAUUUUACUAAUAUAAUCCGGUUUGAAAAGUUAAAUAUGGCAAUGAUUAUGUCAUGACUCUGAAACCUCUCUCUGGUCCCUCUGGCUUCCGAAAAAGUCUCUCUGUCCCCUGCUGCCCAGUCAGUUGUCCCCUCUUCUGCAGCAAUCCAACAAGUAUUGCCUCCUGUGUGUUAACUGCCCCAAGAAAAUCCUCCACAGGCUUCUGUUUAAUUUUAAAUCCGAUAAAACUCUUUAAAAGCUCUUGUGGAGUUUAAUUAUUUUUCCCACUGUUCUGUCCUUUUAAGAAAAAAUUUAAAUAAUACUGGUAUAAGAGUUGAAGCUGUAAGACAUUGUAAAAAUAUCUUUAAACUCCACAUCAAAGCAAACAGAAUGGCCCAAACCUCUGACACAAAAGCGAUGAAGACUGAUAAAAUAUAACAAAUAGAUUAUAAGAUAUUUUUUCAACUAACUCUCACUUGAAUGCUUUAUAUUCAGAGGUAGACAAGGCUCAAAAGGAACCAUAAAGCCUGGGGAAAAGGAAUCAGAACAUAUCUUAAGGUUCCUUCUAGGCCUAAAAUUCUAUGAUGAGGACUUUUCACAUAUAAUCUCAAGAAAUCCUGAUAGAACUGGAGUAAUUAGGAAAAAGGAUUUGAGGCUAGACCCAUGGGAGACCUUUCAGCUCUAAAAGCUUACUAAAUAAUGGGAAUGUGUUACACUACAGGAUAACUUGUAAUUCAUUUUCUAGAACAGUGAUUCUCAAACUGGAGUACGUGUCAGAAUCACCUGUAGGGCUUGUCAAAACUCAGCUACUGUGACCCACUCCAAGAAUUUCUGCUUCUACAGGUCUAGGGUGGGACCCAAGAAUUUGCAUUUCUUUUAUUUUAUUUUUUUUUAUUUUUUUGAGACAGGGUUUCACUCCCAUCACCCAGGCUGGAGCGCAGUGGCGCAAUCUUGGAUCACUGCAACCUCCACUUCCCAAGUUCAAGCAAUUCUUCUGCCUCAUCCUCCUAGGUAACUGGGAUUACAGGCACCUGCCAUCACACCCAGCUAAUUUUUUGUGUUUUUUUUCUAGAGACGGGGGUUUCACCAUGUUGCCCAGGCUAGUCUNNNNNNNNNNAGGUGAUGUUAUCCCCCAUUUUUAAUAGAUAAGGAAAGAGGGGCUCAGAGAUGGUAGGUGACUUUCUCAAGGUCAUUACAGUGAUGAAUAGCAAUGAUAGGAUUCAAAUACAGAACUAUCUGACUUGAAAGAUCCUGCUCUUUGAACCUCACUAUGUUUACCAUUAGCAUUUUAUGACAAUACCUUCCUUCUGUGCAGGUGUGACUGACUGAUUUCCAAAUUGAGAAGCCUCAUAGGACACAGGUUGGCAAGCAAUAAGGCAUCCACUGCUAGUCCAAGAUAAGGACUCACGAAGCCAUGACCCGUAUAACCCUCAAUGUUUGAUUGACAUUUGAUCUAUCUCUGGCUGUCCCUUGACAUCCUCUGGCAUAAACUGUGUGAUCUACUUAUCUUCCUUCUGAUAGAACGGGAGAAUAAAAGGGCAGAGAAGAGGAAAUGAAAAGUUAAGGGCACAAGCUCUGCCCCCUCUUUUUAGGAUUCCUCCAGCAGUACUGGCCCCACACACAGACAGACUAGACAGUCACUACACAGCAAAGCUGAACAUCCAACAUGGCUUCCAAACCCAUAAUGGCAUCCUCCCUUCCCCCACCGUUUUGCCUUAACUCAAGGAAAUUAUUUUAAGUCCUUCUCUUUUACUCAUUUUGAGGAAAAGAAUAAUUCAGGACUUCAAAGCUUAACAAAGCCAUCAGAAUGAAGCCUCAGUUAGUGAGCCAGGGCAGCUCCACCCUGUGUGCCUACCUUCUUGGCAUCAUCUUCCCCAGUGCACCCUGGGCAGCUCAGGACCACAGCUGUUCCUCCCCCAGUGCACCCUGGGUAGCUCUUGGCCAUCCUCAGGAACUCAGCUCAGACACCUCCUCCUCCAGAAAGCCUUUUCUUUUUUUUUUUUAAUUUCAACUUUUAUUUUAGAUUCAGGGAGUACAUCUGUAGGUUUGUUCCAUGGGUAUCGUGAAUGACGCUGAGGUUUGGGGUGUGAUAGUACUGAUCACCUGAGUAUUAUGCUUACUACAUACCCAGGUAGUAAGCAUAGUACCCAAUAGUUAGUUUUUCAACCCAUCCUUCCCUUUCUCCCUCCCGCCUCUAGUAGUCCCCACUGUCUAUUGUUGCCAUCUUUGUGUCCAUGAGUACCCAAUGUUCAGUUCCCACUUAUGAGAACAUGCAGUAUUUGGUUUUCUGUUUCUGCAUUAAUUAGCUUAUGAUAAUUGGCCUCCAGCUGCAUCCAUGUUGCUACAAAGAACAUGAUUUUAUUCUUUUUAUGGCUACAUAGUAUUCCAUGAGGUAUAUGCACAAGGCUUUCUUUAUCCAAUCCAUCCUGGAUGGACACCUGGAUUGAUUUCAUGUAUUAGAGCCAUUGCUUAGGAAUAUUUGCAGUGCCCAGUGGGGCAGUGAGGUUG